UGGGGAAUAUUGCACAAUGGGGGGAACCCUGAUGCAGCGAUGCCGCGUGGAGGAAGAAGGUUUUCGGAUUGUAAACUCCUGUCUUAAAGGACGAUAAUGACGGUACUUUAGGAGGACGCUCCGGCUAACUACGUGCCCGCAGCCGCGGUAAUACGUAGGGAGCGAGCGUUGUCCGGAAUUACUGGGUGUAAAGGGAGCGUAGGCUGGAUCGCAAGUCAGAUGUGAAAUACAUAGGCUUAACCUAUGGGCUGCAUUUGAAACUGUGGUUCUUGAGUGAAGUAGAGGUAAGCGGAAUUCCUGGUGUAGCGGUGAAAUGCGUAGAUAUCAGGAGGAACACCGGUGGCGAAGGCGGCUUACUGGGCUUUAACUGACGCUGAGGCUCGAAAGCGUGGGUAGCAAACAGG
rnacentral:rRNA from 1 species